UGGGGAAUAUUGCACAAUGGGCGCAAGCCUGAUGCAGCCAUGCCGCGUGUAUGAAGAAGGCCUUCGGGUUGUAAAGUACUUUCAGCGGGGAGGAAGGGAGUAAAGUUAAUACCUUUGCUCAUUGACGUUACCCGCAGAAGAAGCACCGGCUAACUCCGUGCCAGCAGCCGCGAUAAUACGGAGGGUGCAAGCGUUAAUCGGAAUUACUGGGCGUAAAGCGCACGCAGGCGGUUUGUUAAGUCAGAUGUGAAAUCCCCGGGCUCAACCUGGGAACUGCAUCUGAUACUGGCAAGCUUGAGUCUCGUAGAGGGGGGUAGAAUUCCAGGUGUAGCGGUGAAAUGCGUAGAGAUCUGGAGGAAUACCGGUGGCGAAGGCGGCCCCCGGGACGAAGACUGACGCUCAGGUGCGAAAGCGUGGGGAGCAAACAGG
rnacentral:rRNA from 1 species